ensembl:lncRNA
AGGUGUGAGAGCUGAUCAGAGCCCAGGAAAAGACUGCAGUGAGUCAGCCUGAAGGACUCACACAGAGACUGGAGCAGGCAGCUGAGCUGAGGAAGAAACACUGAACUGGAGCACCUUUCACACACAGAGGAUCACAUUCCUCCAGAUAUGGCCGUCUCUAUACGCCCCUCCUGAAACUCCAGACCAAUCCAGUGUCCCUGUGGGUCAGACCUAUCGGUCUGAACUAACAGAGAGACAGGAAGACAUCCUGAAAGAGAAUUGGCUUCAGAUUUUAAGAGCAGAUUUCUGUCAGCUCACAUUGGAUCCAAACACAGAAUUCUACAAUCUCCACCUGACUGAAAGAGACCAGGAAGUGACAAUGAAGGAGCCCAAACCGUGGAUCAACCACACAGAGAGGUUUCACAGUAUCCAGAUGCUGUGUAGAGAGGCUGCUGUUACUGGGAGGUAGAGUGGAGCGGGAAGAGGCCCUACAUACCAGUCUU